UUUUCGGGGGGUUGAGAAGUACCGUGUCCUGGGAGAAACAAAUAUCAAGCAACAGUUUUCCAAAAUCAGCAGGAAAGAAAUCAAUACAUGUACUUUUUGCCCAAGAGAAUUUCCGUGUGCAGUUGUUUACUGGAUUUGAACUAUUAACAUAGAAAUCAGGAACUUUCAGCAAACAGCAAUAUAUUUACUCUUCAGCAGACAUAAAAAGCUAACAUGCAAAUUUCAAGACUUUCAAUCUGUUUGUAUGUAAUUAUGGACUUCUUAAAAUAUAAAGCAAGAUAAAUAAAGAUCAGCUCUGGAUUAUAAGAAGCCUAGUAGGACUAUGAUAGACAUAAUAUAUAACAUGGUUGGUUGUCUAUUGCCUUUCUUCAAUUUUUU
rnacentral:lncRNA from 1 species